rnacentral:rRNA from 1 species
UUGGAAAUCAUUCAUAGAGUGUAAAGGCAUAAGGGAGCUUGACUGCGAGACCUACAAGUCGAGCAGGGUCGAAAGACGGACUUAGUGAUCCGGUGGUUCCGCAUGGAAGGGCCAUCGCUCAACGGAUAAAAGCUACCCCGGGGAUAACAGGCUUAUCUCCCCCAAGAGUUCACAUCGACGGGGAGGUUUGGCACCUCGAUGUCGGCUCAUCGCAUCCUGGGGCUGUAGUCGGUCCCAAGGGUUGGGCUGUUCGCCCAUUAAAGCGGUACGCGAGCUGGGUUCAGAACGUCGUGAGACAGUUCGGUCCCUAUCCGUCGUGGGCGUAGGAAAUUUGAGAGGAGCUGUCCUUAGUACGAGAGGACCGGGAUGGACAUACCUCUGGUGUACCAGUUGUCGUGCCAACGGCAUAGCUGGGUAGCUAUGUGUGGACGGGAUAAGUGCUGAAAGCAUCUAAGCAUGAAGCCCCCCUCAAGAUGAGAUUUCCCAACUUCGGUUAUAAGAUCCCUCAAAGAUGAUGAGGUUAAUAGGUUCGAGGUGGAAGCAUGGUGACAUGUGGAGCUGACGAAUACUAA